rnacentral:rRNA from 1 species
UACGGGGGGUGCGAGCGUUGUCCGGAAUCACUGGGCGUAAAGGGCGCGUAGGUGGCGUCGUAAGUCUGUGGUGAAAGCCCGGAGCUCAACUCCGGGUCUGCCGCGGAUACUGCGAGGCUUGAGUGCUGUAGAGGGGGGUAGAAUGCCGGGUGUAGCGGUGGAAUGCGUAGAGAUCCGGCAGAAGACCGGUGGCGAAGGCGGCCCCCUGGGCAGUAACUGACACUGAGGCACGACAGCGUGGGGAGCAAACAGG